CCUACGGGAGGCAGCAGUGGGGAAUAUUGGGCAAUGGAGGAAACUCUGACCCAGCAACGCCGCGUGAAGGAUGAAGGUUUUAGGAUUGGAAACUUCUGUUUGGCGGGAUGAAGAAUGAGGGUACCGCGUGAGGCAGCCCCGGCAAACUACGUGCCAGAAGCAGCGGUAAUACGCAGGGGGCAGGCGUUGUCCGGAAUGACUGGGCGUAAAGGGAGUGUAGGCGGCCUUUUAAGUUCGAUGGGAAAGCCCCCGGCUUAACCGAGGAACUGCCUAUGAAACUGGGGGGCUGGAGUGCAGGAGAGGUAGGCGGAAUGUCUAGUGUAGCGGUGGAAUGCGUAGAUAUUACGAAGAACACCGAAGGCGAAGGCGGCUUACUGGCCUGUAACUGAUGCUGAGGCUCGAAAGCGUGGGGAGCAAACAGGAUUAGAUACCCGUGUAGUC
rnacentral:rRNA from 1 species